GUAGGGAAUAUUGCGCAAUGGGGGAAACCCUGACGCAGCGACGCCGCGUGAGUGAUGAAGGCCUUCGGGUCGUAAAGCUCUGUUGCAGGGGAAUAAAAAAAUGAAGGUACCCUGUGAGGAAGGAUCGGCUAACUUCGUGCCAGCAGCCGCGGUAAGACGAGGGAUCCUAGCGUUGCUCGGAAUCAUUGGGGGUAAAGAGGGCGUAGGUGGCUUGGUAAGUCAGGUGUGAAAGCCCAGGGCUCAACCCUGGAAGUGCAUUUGAUACUGCUGAGCUUGAGUGUCGGAGAGGUUACCGGAAUACCUGGUGUAGUGGUGAAAUACGUAGAUAUCAGGUGGAACACCGGAGGCGAAGGCGGGUAACUGGACGAACACUGACACUGAGGCCCGAAAGAGUGGGGAUCAAACAGGAUUAGAAACCCGAGUAGUCC
rnacentral:rRNA from 1 species